AGUGAACGCUGCGGCGUGCUAAUACAUGCAAGUCGAACGGAAUUUAAAAGGGCUUGCUCUUUUAAAUUUAGUGGCGCACGGGUGAGUAAUAUAUAGCUAAUCUGCCCCUUGCCGGAGGACAACAGUUAGAAAUGACUGUAAUACUCCAUACUCCUUUUUAUCAUAAGAUAAAUCGGGAAAGAAUUUCGGCAAGGGAUGAGACUAUAUCGUAUCAGCUAGUCGGUGGGGUAACGGCCUACCAGGCUAUGACGCGUAACUGGUCUGAGAGGAUGAUCAGUCACAUUGGAAUGAGACACGGUCCAAACUCCUACGGGAGGCAGCAGUAGGGAAUAUUGCGCAAUGGGGAAACCCUGACGCAGCAACGCCGCGUGGAGGAUGACACUUUUCGGAGCGUAAACUCCUUUUGUUAGGGAAGAAUAAUGACGGUACCUAACGAAUAAGCACGGCUA
rnacentral:rRNA from 1 species